AUCUAUGAUGAUACCACUCUGAACUUGCCUACUCUCAUUUGAUUUUCGAAGUUGGGCAGGACUGGACCAGGUUAGUACUUAUAUGGGGAAAAAUACCACCUCUUUAUGACUGUAGGUUAUACAUGUAUA
rnacentral:rRNA from 14 species